rnacentral:lncRNA from 1 species
AUGAAAUGCCUUGUCCCAUAUCAUGCCAACAGCCUGAACCAGUCUGGAAUAGCGUCGAGGUGGAGUGAUUUGCAUACCCAUUUAAGUUCACAGUUAAUGCUAAUUGGUGGUAGCUGGAAAAUGGAGCUUCUCAAACUGAUCCUUGCCAUUUCGAGAGUUCAGUUCCCAGGGUUACUCCCACUAGCCCUAGGACCCACCUGCUUCCCCGGUUCUUUUCUCCAGCUUUGUGUGACAAGCAAGAAGCUGUUGCCAUAUGUCCUAGUGGGGAAGCCUUCCCUGUGCAGAGCAGCAGGAGUUAUUGUGUCACGGUGGAGAAAUCCUAACGUUGGGAUCCUGCAGUAUGUGGCAUUACAGGGGACUCUUGAAGCUGACUAG